rnacentral:rRNA from 1 species
GUGGGGAAUAUUGGACAAUGGGGGGAACCCUGAUCCAGCCAUGCCGCGUGUGUGAAGAAGGCCUUUUGGUUGUAAAGCACUUUAAGCGAGGAGGAGGCUACCGAGAUUAAUACUCUUGGAUAGUGGACGUUACUCGCAGAAUAAGCACCGGCUAACUCUGUGCCAGCAGCCGCGGUAAUACAGAGGGUGCAAGCGUUAAUCGGAUUUACUGGGCGUAAAGCGCGCGUAGGUGGCCAAUUAAGUCAAAUGUGAAAUCCCCGAGCUUAACUUGGGAAUUGCAUUCGAUACUGGUUGGCUAGAGUAUGGGAGAGGAUGGUAGAAUUCCAGGUGUAGCGGUGAAAUGCGUAGAGAUCUGGAGGAAUACCGAUGGCGAAGGCAGCCAUCUGGCCUAAUACUGACACUGAGGCGCGAAAGCGUGGGGAGCAAACAGGAUUAGAAACCCUGGUAGUCC